AUUGAACGCUGCGGCAUGCCUUACACAUGCAAGUCGAACGGCAGCACGGGAGCAAUCCUGGUGGCGAGUGGCGAACGGGUGAGUAAAGUAUCGGAACGUGCCCAGUCGUGGGGGAUAACGUAGCGAAAGUUACGCUAAUACCGCAUACGAUCUAUGGAUGAAAGCGGGGGAUCGCAAGACCUCGCGCGAUUGGAGCGGCCGAUAUCAGAUUAGGUAGUUGGUGGGGUAAAGGCUCACCAAGCCGACGAUCUGUAGCUGGUCUGAGAGGACGACCAGCCACACUGGGACUGAGACACGGCCCAGACUCCUACGGGAGGCAGCAGUGGAGAAUUUUGGACAAUGGGCGAAAGCCUGAUCCAGCCAUGCCGCGUGCAGGAUGAAGGCCUUCGGGUUGUAAACUGCUUUUGUACGGAACGAAAAGGUUUGGGCUAAUAAGCUGAGCUCAUGACGGUACCGUAAGAAUAAGCACCGGCUAACUACGUGCCAGCCGCCGCAGUAA
rnacentral:rRNA from 1 species